rnacentral:lncRNA from 1 species
AGUAUUAUAAUAAUAAAUGUAUUUGUCUUAAUUAUAUCUUAUUAUUAUUUUAAUUUCCAGGCUCUGAAACAGCUGCUUUGAAGAGAUCUUUCAAAUGAAUGACUAGGCUGUGAAUUGCUAAGUGCUGAUAAAUGGGGCUGCUGUACCACUUUCUGAAGCAGAUGUCACCGAUCACGAAGGCAUCAAUUGCAAAAGUCUGUCUUUUGGAAAGAUGACUGUAGAUGAGAAGAGAAGAAGGAGCAGACGGUGGUGCCGUCUUGUCUCAGGACCAAGUACUGCCGUGGAGUUGUAUACUGUACAAAAAGCAUCCCCCUGCGGAAAAACAGUUAGUGCUUCUGCAAACAGUCAGCGUGGUGGAUUUUAUGGUGGGAUUUCUACAGCUGGGAGAGAACUAUCUGUGAAUUUCCAGGAGUCAACCUAGAAAUGCUCUACUGUCUCUUUGCACGUGCUAUUCAACCCAGUGGAGGUGAAGUGCUUCAAAACGCUCUGAGGUCACUUACGAUCUGAAAGGGUUGGAAGAAUAAAAGCUGCCCAUGUGUGCCA